GCUUGGAAUUACCAUAUACUCUAAAACUGACCAUGUAUAGUCUUCAAUCCAGUGGACCAGUUUUCUAAGCACUGGUGGCGAAAAAGAGAGAAAAAUUAGGUCAAAAUGUGACACUAAGGAGCAGGAGAAUAUUGCUUUCAUCAAAAGCAGUUCUCUGUAUGGUGCUUGAAGAGCUUUUUUAAAAUUUUCGUAAUAAUUUUAAUUGUGUUCUAAACAAUAUUUUAUAGCUCACUCUUUUUCCUGCUUAGCAAAACCAUUUGAAUGAUUUGUGAGCUCAUUUUUAUGUUAAAUAUUUUAAUAAGAACGGCUUCUUGACAUCAGAGACUCAGUCAGACAUAAUGGAGUUCUGCUGAUAAGCAUCAUAAAAAUCUAGAAAACAUAAUAAAUCAGACUUAUAGACAUAAUAAUUUGAUAUUUGGAAUAAUUAAGUGUCUAACACUAUGGCAUGUGUGAAACAUUAAGUGCUUGAUUCAAACAGAAAAAUAUAUAUAUACAUAUAUCAACCUAUAUUUAAAGCUGACAUUCCAGUCUUAAAUCAGAUCACCAGGUCUUUGUGCUGGCACACUGGCCAACUUAACUUAGAAGUGCUGUAGGCCUAAAGGUAACCUUUGGAAUUAUGACAUGUUCCUGGAGUUCUUUGGGAAGUUGACUACAAAAACCAAAACAGUUGUUGAAUAGUUUAGCCAGAGCUGGUCAAGACAUUUUGAUAGGAAUAUUACUAUCAAUCUUCCGUUAAAAGAGUACAUGGAAAUUCUGUGAAUUAUUACUAUCUCUGAACUAAAAAUGUGGCUGGCACUUUGCCUUAGGGGUAGAAGUUUAAGGAAGCAAAGAAUGAGAAUGGUUAUUUCUUUAGUUUUCCAACACAUGAUUUUUUUUCUCUGCCGAAAGUGAUACCACAAUAUUGAGGGCUUGAUAUAAGCCUGAUACUGAUUCUUUUAAAAGGUCACCUGUAUCCAAAAAACAUUCAAUAAUUUUAGAGUUAAAAUUAAAUACUCAAUGUGAAUGAAAAUUUCAGUGCCACUUUUAUUUUAAUUUGUAUAGUGCUUUUCCUCUGACAAUCCA
rnacentral:lncRNA from 1 species